GACGGAAGGUGCAAGCGUUGCUCGGAAUCACUGGGCGUAAAGCGUGCGUAGACGGUCAUGUAAGUCGGGUGUGAAAGCCCCGGGCUCAACCUGGGAAUUGCAUUCGAGACUGCAUGGCUAGGAUGCGGAAGAGGGAAGCGGAAUUUCCGGUGUAGCGGUGAAAUGCGUAGAUAUCGGAAGGAACACCAGUGGCGAAAGCGGCUUCCUGGUCCAGCAUCGACGUUCAGGCACGAAAGCGUGGGGAGCAAACAGG
rnacentral:rRNA from 1 species